rnacentral:rRNA from 1 species
GAUGAACGCUGGCGGCGUGCCUAAUACAUGCAAGUCGAGCGAACGGACGAGAAGCUUGCUUCUCUGAUGUUAGCGGCGGACGGGUGAGUGACACGUGGAUAACCUACCUAUAAGACUGGGAUAACUUCGGGAAACCGGAGCUAAUACCGGAUGAUAUUUUGAACCGCUGGUUUAAAAGUGAAAGACGGUCUUGCUGUCACUUAUAGAUGGAUCCGCGCUGCAUUAGCUAGUUGGUAAGGUAACGGCUUACCAAGGCAACGAUGCAUAGCCGACCUGAGAGGGUGAUCGGCCACACUGGAACUGAGACACGGUCCAGACUCCUACGGGAGGCAGCAGUAGGGAAUCUUCCGCAAUGGGCGAAAGCCUGACGGAGCAACGCCGCGUGAGUGAUGAAGGUCUUCGGAUCGUAAAACUCUGUUAUUAGGGAAGAACAUAUGUGUAAGUAACUGUGCACAUCUUGACGGUACCUAAUCAGAAAGCCACGGCUAACUACGUG